CCUACGGGAGGCAGCAGUGAGGAAUAUUGGUCAAUGGACGCAAGUCUGAACCAGCCAUGCCGCGUGCAGGAAGACUGCUCUAUGGGUUGUAAACUUCUUUUAUACGGGAGUAAAGUCAGCCACGUGUGCCUGUUUGAAUGUACCUUACGAAUAAGGAUCGGCUAACUCCGUGCCAUCAGCCGCGGUAAUCCGGAGGAUCCCAUCGUUAUCCGGAUUUAUUGGGUUUAAAGGGUGCGUAGGUGGUCGGUUAAGUCAGGGGUGAAAGUUUGAGGCUCAACAUCAAAAUUGCAUUUGAUACUGGCAGUCUUGAGGGUAGUUGCGGUAGGCGGAAUGUGUGGUGUAGCGGUGAAAUGCUUAGAGAUCACGCAGAACACCGAUUGCGAAGGCAGCUUACCAAGCUACAUCUGACAUUGAGGCACGAAAGCGUGGGGAGCAAACAGGAUUAGAUACCCUAGUAGUC
rnacentral:rRNA from 1 species